rnacentral:tRNA from 1 species
AGGAUAAUAGUUAAUUAUAACAUUUGGGUUGCAUUCAAAAAGUGUUGAAUAAUACUUCAACUUAUCUU